AAGUCGUAACAAGGUUUCCGUAGGUGAACCUGCGGAAGGAUCAUUAACACGUAUCCAACGUUAAACAACCCUGUGAACUUUCAGACGCUCUUGUAGCCCAGGAGGAACAGCAAUCCCGGUAAAUCAAUGGCGGAAAGUUUUUGAUUCGGGACCUCUGUCCAAAAGGAGUAAGGAUAACGCAUCACGGUUGCCAGAGGUCGAUCACCGGCCGGCAGACAUGUCACAGGGCUUUAUGCCCCUUCAUUCACCCCUUGCCUAAUCAAGCCCCGCGGAAACGCCGGGCAAAAAAAUCUGAACAACUGUUAACAAUGGAUAUCUUGGUUCUC
rnacentral:misc_RNA from 1 species